CAGCUGGCUUCACCUCUCAUUGAGUUUGCAGGAUGGCAGGCUUAUGGGUGUCCUACGAUCUGCCAUUUGUUUGGAAGCUGGAGAACCAAGAAAGCUGGUAGUCUUGCUCCAGUCCAAGCUCAAAGACCUGAAAACAGGGGAGCCAACAGUGUAAACCCCAGUGUGAAGUCCAAAGGCUUGAGAACCAGGAGGGCCAAUGGUGUAAGUUGCGAGUCUGAGUCUGAAGGCUGGAGAACCAGAAGCACCCGUAUCUGAGGUGGGGAGAAGACCGAUGUUCCAUUUCAAGUACCUUUUGUCUGCGCUUGAAUCAUCCCAGUUGACGUGUGUGUCAACUGUUUCCUGCUGGGACUCUUGAUAUUCCAACUUCCUGAACAGAUCACUGGCUUUGGGGAGAAGUUGCUUCCAUAAAGAAACUCAGCCCUGUUGAGAGGCCUACGUGAUUUGGAAGCGCAGCUCCC
rnacentral:lncRNA from 1 species